GCCUCCUUAGCUCAGGGGCAGAGCGCUCCCCUCGUAAGGGAGAGGUCGUCAGUUCAAUUCUGGCAGGUGGCA